UAGGGAAUCUUCGGCAAUGGGGGGAACCCUGACCGAGCAACGCCGCGUGAGUGAAGAAGGUUUUCGGAUCGUAAAGCUCUGUUGUUAAGGAAGAACGAGUGUGAGAAUGGAAAGUUCAUACUGUGACGGUACUUAACCAGAAAGGGACGGCUAACUACGUGCCAGCAGCCGCGGUAAUACGUAGGUCCCGAGCGUUGUCCGGAUUUAUUGGGCGUAAAGCGAGCGCAGGCGGUUAGAUAAGUCUGAAGUUAAAGGCAGUGGCUCAACCAUUGUAGGCUUUGGAAACUGUUUGACUUGAGUGCAGAAGGGGAGAGUGGAAUUCCAUGUGUGACGGUGAAAUGCGUAGAUAUAUGGAGGAACACCGGUGGCGAAAGCGGCUCUCUGGUCUGUAACUGACGCUGAGGCUCGAAAGCGUGGGGAGCGAACAGG
rnacentral:rRNA from 1 species